CGAUCUGCUGCGGGCAGAUAUAGUGGAUAUGGGUGUCGAACCCGCCAGCGGUCAGGAUGCGGCCCUCGCCGGCGAUGACCUCGGUGCCGGGGCCGACGAUGAUGUCGACGCCGGGCUGGGUGUCGGGGUUGCCGCCCUUGCCGAUCUUGUGGAUCAGCCCGUCGCGCAGGCCCACGUCAGCCUUGUAGAUGCCGCUGUGGUCGACGAUCAGCGCGUUGGUGAUGAUGGUGUCCACAGCGCCUUCGGCGCGGGUCGCCUGGGAUUGGCCCAUGCCGUCGCG
rnacentral:sRNA from 1 species